rnacentral:tRNA from 1 species
GCACAAGUUGCUCGAGUGGUAACAGCUUCGUCUGCAAAACGACAUGUCGUGGGUUCGAUUCCCUCACAGUGCU